rnacentral:lncRNA from 1 species
CAAGCUUUUAUUACAGGAGUUGAGAAGCCUCCUCUGUAACCAAGGAGACAAGAAUGUUUCAAAAGCACAUAUGAAGGUUUGAUGCCUGAGAAACUACUAGUGGACAAGUCUAUGACAAUCAACAAAGAAGCACUGAAUUUCGGGAUGCAACAGCACACCCCUGUACUGCAGGCAUUACGCUCCUGGGGAGCUAUAAGGAGGACCAUACAAUGGGAUGAACGAGUGGGAGUGAGAACUGCUAAGUAUGAUGUCUGCACG